UACGUAGGGUGCAAGCGUUGUCCGGAAUUAUUGGGCGUAAAGAGCUCGUAGGCGGUUUGUUGCGUCGGCUGUGAAAUCCCGAGGCUCAACCUCGGGUCUGCAGUCGAUACGAGCAAACUAGAGUGUUGCAGGGGAGACUGGAAUUCCUGGUGUAGCGGUGAAAUGCGCAGAUAUCAGGAGGAACACCGGUGGCGAAGGCGGC
rnacentral:rRNA from 1 species